rnacentral:lncRNA from 1 species
AGAUUUACGUGAAAAAACUCCAACUUGGAGAAAAAUAAAUGCGGAAAAUAAAAAGCACACCGAGAUUUACGUGGGAAAACUCCAACUUGGAGAAAAACCCACGGGACCAACACGCGAAAAAAUAAUUCACUAAGAGAAAAGAUUACAAGGUGAUUACCGACUCCAUGGACUCAACCUCUCUUAACCUUCUAUGAAUCUUCGCGCUACCCUCCGGGUUGUCCACGCCCUCACGUUCGAAUCCACGAACGCCUCCACUUCGAAUCCACGAAGCUUCAAUCACGCCGAAUCCACGACGCCACUCGAAUCCACGAGCCAACGAUCCGAAUCCACGAACCGCCUUUGUUCACGCCGAAUCCACGACGCUGUUCAUGAAGA